ensembl:lncRNA
AUGGAAAACGUGUUUUAUAAAAGAGCUGCGCCCAGAUCUCAGAAAUGCUGGCACCAAACCAAACUGCUCACCCCGUUUCCCCAGGAGCUCCCCAGGGCGCCCUCAAAGGUCACCUCCUGGGGUCUGGGCGCGUCCAGGGCCAAGGCCAGUUGUCCAGGAUGCUCGCAAAGCCUGCAGGGACCCCAGUGCCCACCUGCAGCUUCUGCACACACAGCCCCCUUACGAACCACGAGAGCACGGGGGCUCCAUGCUCGGGCUCACCAGUCUGCCCCGUGGUCUCAGCAUCAUGGGGUCAGGACACAGGCACGGGGCCAUGGUUCCCUGCUUCUGCCUUCAUUCUGCAUUGCUAUUUAUCCAGGGAAACGGCACGAGGGGUCCAUCCAUUGUCCUGUGGUGCACACACUGUCCUGGGGUGCACACACUGUUCUGGGGGUGCACACACUGUCCUGGGGAUGCACACGCUGUCCUGGGGAUGCACACGCUGUACUGUGGUGCACACACUGUCCUGGGUGCACACGCUGUUCUGGGGGUCCACAUGCUGUCCUGGGGUGCACACGCUGUCCUAGGGAUGCACACACUGUCCUGUGGUGCACACACUGUCCUGGGUGUACACACUGUCCUGGGUGCACACGCUGUCCUGGGGGUGCACACGCUGUCCUGGGUGCACAUGCUGUCCUGGGGGUGCACACGCUUUGCCUUCAUUCUGCAUUGCUAUUUAUCCAGGGAAACGGCACGAGGGGUCCAUCCAUUGUCCUGUGGUGCACACACUGUCCUGGGGUGCACACACUGUUCUGGGGGUGCACACACUGUCCUGGGGAUGCACACGCUGUCCUGGGGAUGCACACGCUGUACUGUGGUGCACACACUGUCCUGGGUGCACACGCUGUUCUGGGGGUCCACAUGCUGUCCUGGGGUGCACACGCUGUCCUAGGGAUGCACACACUGUCCUGUGGUGCACACACUGUCCUGGGUGUACACACUGUCCUGGGUGCACACGCUGUCCUGGGGGUGCACACGCUGUCCUGGGUGCACAUGCUGUCCUGGGGGUGCACAUGCUGUCCUGGGGGUGCACAUGCUGUCCUGGGGCUGCACACAUUGUCCUGUGUUGCACUCGCUGUGCUGGGAGUAUACACACUGUCCUGGGGUGUACACACUGUCCUGGGGUGUACACGCUGUGCUGGGAUGCAAAUGCUGUCCUGUGGUGCACACGCUGUCCUGGGGUGUACACGCUGUCCUGUGGUGCACACACUGUCCUGGGUGCACACACUGUCCUGGGGUGUACACGCUGUCCUGUGGUGCACACGCUGUCCUGUGGUGCACACGCUGUCCUGGGGGUGCACACACUGUCCUGUGGUGCACACGCUCUCCUGGGUGCACACGCUCUCCUCGGUGCACACGCUGUCCUGGGUGCACACGCUGUCCUGUGCAUGGGCAGGCCAACUCUCCCAGAGGUGCAGUAGGUGCUGCAGGACUUUCCUUGUGCCUCUGGUUGCUGUCCUGUGCAGAGGCCCUGGGGCGGGGCUGGAGCAGGGAGCAGCAGGGGCCGGCCACUCUGCGUCGGCCGCUGUGGGGAUGGACGUUUACUCUGACAGAAGCAGCGACCCGGCUGGGAUCAUGCAGAACAGAGACGCAGUGCGGUGCGUGGCCUCUGGGGCUGCGGGAGCUGUGCUGAGCGGCCGGGCGCCGGGUGCAGGGCCCAGGCCACGGCCAGCACGGAGGCUCAGCAGCAGCAGGGCACGGCCGCCAGGUCCUCCAGCAGACACGGGGGAGCAGAGGUGGUGA